rnacentral:tRNA from 1 species
AUUCUUUUAGUAUAACGUACAAAUGCCUUCCACGCAUAAAGUCUUAGCAAGGCCUAAGAAAGAAUA